UACGGGAGGCAGCAGGGGGAAUAUUGCACAAUGGGCGAAAGCCUGAUGCAGCUAUGCCGCGUGUAUGAAGAAGGCCUUAGGGUUGUAAAGUACUUUCAUCGGGGAGGAAAAAACAAAACUAAUAAUUUUAUUUCUUGACGUUACCCGAAAAAGAAGCACCGGCUAACUCCGUGCCAGCAGCCGCGGUAAUACGGAGGGUGCUAGCGUUAAUCAGAAUUACUGGGCGUAAAGAGCACGUAGGUGGUUUUUUUAAGUCAGAUGUGAAAUCCCCUGGGCUUAACCUAGGAACUGCAUUUUUGAAACUGAAAUACUAGAGUAUCGUAGAGGGAGGUAGAAUUCUAGGUGUAGCGGUGAAAUGCGUAGAUAUCUGGAGGAAUACCUGUGGCGAAAGCGGCCUCCUAAACGAAUACUGACACUGAGGGUGCGAAAGCGUGGGGAGCAAACAGGGAUUUAGAUACC
rnacentral:rRNA from 1 species